AGGAAAUGCUAGUGGAUUCCUGGGGCCGGCUGUGGUGCCCAACCUCUUUUCCUGUCUCGGGAGAUCCAAGCUGCUCCAAGCUUGGAUCGAGCGUGGCCCUUGAUGGAGCCCGUCUGCUGCCCCCCCGGCCUGCGAGCCUCAGCUUCCAUUCCCGACAUACAGAGCUGUGAUUGGAAAGGGAGCACUUCCUGGAUGCAGCCUGGGGACAAGGCGCAGCUGACGGGAGAGGCAGACGGGGGCCGAGGGCGGGGAGCACUGUUUAUCCCAGCACAAACCACUGCCAAAACAUUCCUAGGGAAGCUGUGUCACCCCGAGUGUGGCUCUAGGCAGAGGCUCCAGGAUCAGCGAGAGUCAAGACCCUGCCCUGUGCAUCAAGCGAGCACACGCGGUCUCACGCUUACACGUGCACCACCCACGGAUGCUGUGUUCCCGCGGGCGAUUCCAGCGUCCAGCUCUCAGACACAUGGAACCCAUUUCCUAGGAGGCCCUGGAGGGGAGCUUUGCAUUCCUAGGACCGGGCUCAGCCAGUGAGGGCCCAGGGGACGGGGGUUUUCAAUGCAGGAAAGAUGGGAAGCCCCCCCACCUCUUCAGCAGCCUCCAGGAUGCAGGCCUUCCGCAGUCCCACGAGAAGCACAGCCCCUUUCCCUCAGGGCCUUUGUCACGGAGACAGGGUUUUAUGACUGUGGGUUUUUUAAACUGAUCAUCUAAAUGUGCCAGAUGCUGAAAUUGUCAAGGGGGCAACAUGCGUGUUUCCUCCUUUAGCUCCAUGCAAGGGUCGUAGUCUCUGCAACUCCUGACGGUCCAUCUCAACGCGAACCCUCCAGUCCGGGGAAUGCAUUACUUUCUGAUAAUAAUAACAACAAUGGCCGCCGACGCCGCCUUCAUUUCUGAGGCUCCUCCCAGGAGCCUGGUACCUUUUACAUGCGUUUUGUACAAAUCUACCUUGCGUUAUCUUCAGCAUCGUCACCCUCCAUUAUGGAGCAUUAUCGGACCCAUUUUAUACAUGGAAAAGCAGGCUUGAGGCUAUGAAUGACCUUCUCUAGGGUCACUGGUCUGGCAGAGGCGGAGCUGUCGGGAGCCAGAGCCCAUACUUGUAACGCUCAGGCGGGGCUGAAGUUUGAAGUCAAGCCAGCCUAUUCCCUUCUUGCACAAUUCUCGUUGUUCAAAAUUCCUUCCUCUUUGGAGCCAUAGAGAAAACACAUGCUCCCCUCCCCUCGCCUCCUCUGAUUUGCCCUUCGGAAGUCAGAAAUCGGAAGCCAUCGCCAGGCCAGCCUGGAUCUCCCCUUCCGGGCAAAUCAACCGCCACCCCAGCAACUCAUCCUCAGAUCUCACGUUUUCCAGCGCCCACGACCAGUGGAUCGUUCUGUCUGCAAAGGUCCCUCUUAGAGGGGCCGUAACCCCGUGUGCCGCUGACCCAGCUCAGACCAGACGGGGACCACCACACCUCGCUGGAGACCCCUCACUGCUCCAAGCACAAGAAAUGUGACUCCGAGCAGCGAGUACUCCUGAGGCUCAGAGGGAGAAAAACCCCAGCGUGAAGACAUCACAAGUGCAGGAUUUAAACGUAGAGCCACCCAGUUGCAGAACCCACACUCUGAGCCCGCUGCGGUCCGGCCUCCGCUGAAGACCCAGUCUUCCUCUGCCCCCCACUCAUAAGGAUACAGGCGAUCGCACUGAGGGCUUCCCUGGAGAAUCUCCGUAUCUCAAGAUCUUUAACCAAAUCACAGUUGCAAAGAAAGAUGCCUUUUCCACAGAAGGUAACAUUUACAGGUUCCAGGGGUUAAGACCUGACAUCUUUGGGGGACAUUAUUCAGCCUACUACACUAUAUUUUAUUUAACCCGGUUUGUCCAAAAUAUUAUCAUUUUAAUAUGCAAUCAAUAUUUUUUCAUUAUUAAUGAGAUAUUUUCCCCUUUUUUCAUAUUAGGUCUUCAAAAUCAGGUAUGAAUUUUACACUCGUGGUACAUCUCUAUUGGGGCUUCCCACGUUUCGGAAGCUCAGGGACCACGUCUGGCUGUGGCUGCCAUAUUGGACAGCGCACUCGACACAAAGGUUUCUGGGACUUUUGUCUUCUUGGUGUUUUGUUCCUUUAAGGCACGGGGAACAAGGUCACAUUUGUUAGCAUCUCAACGAUUAGAUUAGAAUCUCAGAUAAAAUGCAUGCCUUUCAGUCCAGACCCGUGAAUCAAGAGGCUGAAACUGCCCUUGAGGUAUGUGCCCAAAUCGUGGGCUGAUUUUGAGCAAUCUGGACUUAAAGUCAACUCUUCAGACCCCAAUUUAUUACCAAAAGGACAGCAAAAUGCCUCUUCCCGUCUGCGAUAAGGAUGCCAACCUGGGGGCUGAGUUUUACAGUUUGGAAAGCGCUGAUUUUCUGUGGCCAGCUCAUAUGUUAAAUUUCAUCCCACUUUCAGAGAAGAGGAAACUAAGGCCUGGAGACACCAAGUGAGCUGUCGACCAUGGCCCAGAGGCUGACGAGCAGGAAGGGGCACGAGGCCUGAGCCAGUGCCCGGUGGCUGUCAGGCAGCCCUGCUUCCUGUCUGAGCAUCGUACUUCGCCUCUCCGAGCCUUGCUCUCCCCAUCUCUAAGAUGGCCGUGCUAAUAGGCCCUCAGCCCAGGCUUGCUGACAUAACCCACGUGGCCUGUAGAACUGUGCCCGGCAUGAAAUACAAAAUAUCACUGCUAUUGGUGUUGUUUUAACAACUGAGAUUCAACCCGGCCAGUGUAACCCCGGAAGCCGAGCCCAGGGCCUGGGGAUGCAUGUACAAAGGUCUACUCGCCUUCCACGAAUUAGCAGUCCAGUCGGGGAGGAGACCGGUAAAGGACUAACUACCCCACAGCAGGAGAAGAACCAUAAUGACGUGUGUGUGCCAGGUCCUGUGCCCAGUGCCUUAUAUAUUUGCUCAUUGGCCUACUGUUAUCCCCAUUGUAGAGAUGAGAAAAUUGGGGUUCACAGGAGUGAAGGGACUCCAUCAAUUUCGGAGCUAAACUAUAGUGCCAUGUGUAUACAUAUGGCUGGUGUGUCUGACAAAGACUCUUCAGAUUGCCCAGGGCAGGAGGACGGCCGAGAGGCGCUGGUGCUCAGAGCAGGAUGUGGAGACCCAUUGGGCGGGUCUCCAUGGGCCCUGCUGGACGCUCUGACCUCCCCCAGGAUCUGCAGUUUCCAAUCCGGCCUGCUCAUCUCAGAACCGCAGUCAAGCAGCACGUGCACUAUAAUGGCACUGGGCUGGGAGGUGGUGUUCUGGAAGCGUUCUGAGCUUGGAGCCUGGAAAGGACCAGACACAUCCCUUGCCAUCCCUCGCACCCUCUGGCACCGGCUGCAGCCCGGGACCCAGGCAGCCUGGCUUGACCAUCUCGGAAGGCCAUGACCCUUCUAUCUCUUCGUCAGCAGCCCCUCCAGCCCUGGGGACAGCACAGGUUUUGGCUUCUGAAUUGCACCCCAUUAUCCUAGAGGAAAAACUUCUGCUUCUUCCUGGCUGGAGGCCCAAUUUGCACCCAGCUUUCAGUCCUUCCCUAACUCUGCACAGAUUGAGCCACACAUGGAGCACAUGAAAGCGGCGGGCCUGGGACCAGAAAGCCAGGGCGAGUCCUCAUGGGAACCAGGGACGCAUGAGGCCCCAGAACAGCUAUUGCUGAAGGUGGCAGAGUUAAAGCGAGAGACGGGAGUGCACGGCAGACGUGCCUGCUCGCUCAUUCACCCAUUCACCCACGUGACCCCUGAACCCUGGCCCUUAAGUGUGCCAGGCCCAUGCUGGCCAGGACACAGGGGUCACGUCAGAGGCCCCUCCACAUCCGGAGUGGUUUGGGCUUUUCCCUGAGGCAGAGUCGACCUCAUGACCUCUCUCAACCCAGGCCGGGAGCUCCUCUGAGCCAGCCUCGCCCUCCCUCCUGCCUCUUACCCUGGCCCCAGACGCCUCUGCCUGAGCUCAUCAGGUGAUGCCUUCAGCGAUGUCACAAGGCCGGCCUCGGCCAGCUGGAAAUCCGAGGGGCUUCGGGGCUCUUGCUUUCUCCUCCCUCUCUCUCAAGCAUGACUCAGGCGGGGACAGGCCCUGGGCUGUGGUGAGGUUCUCCAUUUUUACACAACGGCAUUCUUCACUCCGACCCUGCAGGGGGCCCCUUGCCCGCCUCUCAACCCCUGAGAGUCAUGGCUCGGAUCGGACGCUGGGCAGAUGCAGACUCUCUCCUCUGCCAGGGGUCAAGGCCAGUCCUCAGGAAAGGGCCACAGCGGAGGGGAGCGUCCACUCCACUCCAGAGACACCCUCUGCCCUGCAUGGCUGGUACCUCCUCCCUCCUUCUCCCCCUCCUCCUCCCCCUUCCUCCCCCUCCCUUCUCUUUUUCCUCUUCUCCAACCAAGAAAGUGACCUCAUAGCCAAAUUCAACUGGUUAGUGAGGGCCGUAUGAUUUUUCCAAAGGGUAGCUGUAUUUCUGAAAAAGGAAACCAGGUAAUAGGUCAUUCAUUCCUUCCUUCAUUCAUUCAUUGAGAGGCAUUAGAGCAUGGGCUCGGGAGUCAGACCACCUUUGGGUGUGCCCCUGCCCCACGGCUUGCUGCCUUUGGAACUGUGGGCCAGUGACUUCCCCACUGACCUCCAUUCCCUCAUCUGGGGAUGCAGGAGACAAGCACACAGGGGGCCCAGGGCACCGAGAGAGCUGGCACUUUCUCGACGGCACGAGGGAGCCUUUGGGUAGCCUCAGGCAGGGUGCCGAUGUGGUCACGGGGGACAGGGAGCCGGGGAAGGAGAGCGGCAGUGAGGAGGCUGGCGCUGUCGCCCAGAUGAACGGUGAUGGGCCUGAGAGACGUGGAAUAGAGACCCGAGAGGCCCCAGGGACAAGCUGGCUGUGACGUGUCAGAGAGAGGGCCAAGUGAGAAAACAGGAGGUCAGGAGAAGUCAGAAUGGCGGGUACCUCUGGGCGGAGGAGGGGUACUGACUGGGAUGGCACUCGAGGGAACUUCCUGGGUGCUGAGAAAUUUCUGUGUCUCCAUCUGGCUGGUAGUUACGGGGAUGUCUACAUAGGUUAAAAAAAAAAAAAAAAAAGGUUGAGCUGUGCAUUUAAGAUUUGUGCAUUUGACUGCAGGAACAUUGUACCUCUAAGUAAAAUAAAAUAAAAUAAAACUCCAAUGGCCAGGUCUCUGACUUGAACAGCUAAGCAGAGGGAGAUGCCAUUUACGGUGAUGGGAAGCCUGGAAGAAAUGCUGACCUGGGAGCAAAGGUCAGGAAUUCAGUU
rnacentral:lncRNA from 1 species